UACGGGGGGGGGCAAGCGUUGUUCGGAAUUACUGGGCGUAAAGGGCUCGUAGGCGGCCAACUAAGUCAGACGUGAAAUCCCCUCGGCUUAACCGGGGGAACUGCGUCUGAUACUGGAUGGCUUGGGAUUGGGGAGAGGGAUGCGGAAUUCCAGGUGUAGCGGUGAAAUGCGUAGAUAUCUGGAGGAACACCGGUGGCGAAGGCGGCAUCCUGGACCAACACUGACGCUGAGGGAGCGAAAGCCAGGGGAGCAAACGGGG
rnacentral:rRNA from 1 species